rnacentral:snRNA from 1 species
GGACAGGAGGGGAGUCUGGCUAUGAUCCUUGGGGUUAAUCUGUUUAGCCUGGCCAGCUAGCCAGGCAUUCCUUCCCACCCUGCUGCACCAUGGGUGGCCUGAAGCCUCCUGCUCAGCAGAAGAGAACUACCUUUCUGGACAGAGAAGGGCUCUUCCUUCAUCAAGGGUAUACAGGCAGGUGUGCUACCCACUAGAACUUACAAACCAGCUCUCAGGAAUAUGGCCAUCAGGUUGAAUAUUUGUUUAAAUGAGAUCUAUCUGAAAUUCUUCAUCCACUCAUCUAAAGACAGAGCAAUUAUUUUUU